rnacentral:rRNA from 1 species
GACGAACGCUGGCGGCGUGCUUAACACAUGCAAGUCGAACGGUGAAGCGCCUUCCUUUUUGGUGGGUGUGGAUGAGUGGCGAACGGGUGAGUAACACGUGAGUAACCUGCCCCCUUCUUCUGGAUAACCGCAUGAAAGUGUGGCUAAUACGGGAUAUUCUGGGUCUGUCGCAUGCUGGGUCUGUGAAAGAUAUUGUUUCGGUGGGGGAUGGGCUCGCGGCCUAUCAGCUUGUUGGUGGGGUGAUGGCCUACCAAGGCGGUGACGGGUAGCCGGCCUGAGAGGGUGGACGGUCACACUGGGAAUGAGACACGGCCAAGACUCCUACGGGAGGCAGCAGUGGGGAAUAUUGCACAAUGGGGGCAAGCCUGAUGCAGCGACGCCGCGUGAGGGAUGGAGGCCUGCGGGUUGUGAACCUCUUUCGCCAGUGAAGCAGGCCUGCCUCGUUUGUGGGUGGGUUGACGGUAGCUGGAGAGGAAGCGCCGGCUAACUACGUG